CCCUUAGAUGUUCUGGGCUGCACGCGCGCUACACUGAUGCACUCAACGAGUUUACGACCUUGCCCGAUAGGGUUGGGUAAUCUUUUUAAAAUGCAUCGUGAUGGGGAUAGAUUAUUGCAAUUAUUAAUCUUCAACGAGGAAUUCCUAGUAAGCGCGAGUCAUCAGCUCGCGCUGAAUACGUCCCUGCCCUUUGUACACACCGCCCGUCGCUCCUACCGAUUGAGUGGUCCGGUGAGGCUUUGGGAUCUGAGCGGAAAGAGCGUUUCGCUGUUUCUGCUCGGAAAACUCAGUCGAACCUUAUCAUUUAGAGGAAGGAGAAGUCGUAACA
rnacentral:rRNA from 1 species